rnacentral:lncRNA from 1 species
UCCAAAGUCAUCCAUUUUAAAGGAUAUUCAUGCCUAUUUUAAUGGACAAACUCAAAGGCAUUGUGUACGUAGCUGUAAGAUAAAACGCGAUACAAAAUUUUCAAUGGAAAGUCAUAGUCAACACUAGAGGAAAGUCAGGCGACAUGUCAAACCUUCAAGUAUGGAAACUCGAGUUUUCGCAUUAGAGAUCAGAUAUUUGUGCCCGAGCCAGUUAAAUUUCCGUCAAGGAUGCAGCCUGUUGAGUCCUCGCCUCAGAAAUAACAGCCUGCAAGCUAGGUGAGUAUCAAUAAAAAGAAUUGCAAGUCAGCCCGUAAAAUCAUAUUUCUACUGUCAAUAUUAUAAAAUAAUUUAAAAAACAACCCAUGGAUCAUCCUCUGCUUGAGGACAAACCACAGAGACAUCAUCCUUGAUCCAAUAGGAAUCAAAUAAACUAUGUAUCAUGCUUGAUCGAAUAUGCCAGAUCACUCAAUCAUCGGAGAGUUUGCAAAGAUAUCGAAGAAUUAAUCACUGUUAACCUAAGCUAUUUCUUUAAGUCAAUGAAAACAAAUGUGCAUAUUGUCUCACUAAGCAAGAUUACUUUCCCCAAUCUCUUUAUUGUCAGUACAUGCUUCUGACCAUGAAUAAUCAGAACGAUUGGUUUGGAGAUGGGGGACGGGGGACUUUAGGAGAUGGUGAACGGGGUAUCUAACAUAACCAGUCUUUAUGUUUAUAACAGAUAAUAAGCAGCACAUAAGCAUUACUUAGACUGAAUUCUCAGUUUAACGCUUGUGAUUGAAGAUCACAUUGAUAGUUUAGGUUCAGCUGUGACCAGGAUCUUUGGGUUAAAAUGGAUUGAAGACUGACCAGAAAGCCAAUCAGUUUCAGUACGAUUUAAGACAGCUAAACUGAUUCCCACCAACUAAUAGCACACAAGGAUUAAAGCAAACAAACCUCCUCUCGCACAGCCUUUAUAUCUCCAACACAGAAUAUCAAUGCUUCCACGACUGUUUCACCAACAUCUUUGAGGUGAUAUGAUUUUUACCGUCUUCUAUGGAACACAUACAGAUGUUUCCGAUGUUCUGUGCAUGGUGAUGCAG